AUUGAACGCUGGCGGCAUGCCUUACACAUGCAAGUCGAACGGUAACAGGUCUUCGGAUGCUGACGAGUGUCUAACGGGCGAGUAAUACAUCGGAACGUGCCUAGUUGUGGGGGAUAACUACUCGAAAGAGUGGCUAAUUCCGCAUGAGAUCUACACAUGAAAGCAGGGGAUGGCAAGACCUUGUGCUACUAGAGCGGCCGAUGGCAGAUUAGGUAGUUGGUGGGAUAAAAGCGUACAAAGCCGACGAUCUGUAGCUGGUCUGAGAGGACGAUCAGCCACACUGGGACUGAGACACGGCCCAGAUUCCUACGGGAGGCAGCAGUGGGGAAUUUUGGACAAUGGGCGAAAGCCUGAUCCAGCAAUGCCGCGUGCAGGAUGAAGGCCUUCGGGUGGUAAACUGCUUUUGUACGGAACGAAAAGCCCCGGGUUAAUACCCUGGGGUCAUGACGGUACCGUAAGAAUAAGCACCGGCUAACUACGUGCCAGCCGCCGCCGUAA
rnacentral:rRNA from 1 species